rnacentral:ncRNA from 1 species
UAUAGUUUUAAAAAUUUAUUUUAAGUUUAUUUUACAUACAAAUUUUAGUGUUAAUUUUAAAUUAUUUUAAUAAUAAUUUAUAUUUAAAAGUAGUAAUUAAUAUUAAAUUAUUUAAGAAAUUAAGAUUUAGUAAUACUUUUAAUUAAUAACAAAUUUUGUGCCAGCAGUUGCGGUUAUACAAAAAUUAAUUUAAAUUUUAUUAGUAAUUAUUCAAUAAAUUAUUUAAAAUAAUAAAAAUGUAAAAUUAUUAAGUGAAAUUUUAAUUUAAUGAAAAAUUAUAAUUUAAUUAUGAUUUAAUAAAUUUUAUAAAAAACUAGGAUUAGAUACCCUAUUAUUAAAAAUUAAAUUUAUAAUACUAAAAUAGUAAAUAAUUAUUUAUUUAAACUUAAAUAAUUUGGCGGUAUUUUAGUUCAUUUAGAGGAAUCUGUUUAAUAAUUGAUAAUCCACGAAUAAAUUUACUUAAUUUUUAAUUUUGUAUAUCGUUGUUAAAAAAAUAUUUUUUAAUAAAAUUAAUAUUUAAUAAUUAUUAAAAAAAUUUAAAUCAGAUCAAGAUGCAGAUUAUAAUUAAGAAUAUAAUGGAUUACAAUAAAUUUAUUUAAAUAAAUAUUAAUUUGUAAAAAUUAAUUGAAAGUGGAUUUAAAUGUAAUUUUAUUUAAUUUAUUAAAAUGAUUAAAAAUUAAAAUAUGUACAUAUUGCCCGUCGCUUUCAUAUAUUAAUAAGUUGAAAUAAGUCGUAACAAAGUAGAGGUACUGGAAAGUGUUUCUAGAAAGAA